AUGGUACCUAUCAUGGCGCCCGUGAUUCUCCACGUCCCGAUCCUUUCUGAGCACAUCCGUUUAAAUCAGAUCCAUGUCAUUUAGCAAAGACGUAGCUAGCCCGCUGCCUGGGCCAUGCCAUUACAUGACUGCCCUGCAGUGUAUCAGUGUAACAGACAGGUACAGUUUGAUUCGUCAAAUUUGGUAGGGUGGGUUUAAGUAAGGAUUUCGCUAUCGGUGCUUUGCGACAACACAGAAGGCACUUUCAGGCUAGCAGUUUUCAGGAGUGAAUGAUUAAUCUCCUUACCGAUCGACAGUAUGUCCGAAGUGUGCGUUUUCGCUCCGCAGUCGUGACUACUCCAUUUACUUCUCCCUAUCCUGCGAAUACAGCACAACAUGAGUAGAAUCCCUGUGGAGUUCAGAAGGUCCAACGGGAUCUCACACACACUAAUGUUUUUUUCAGAUGAUUUAGCAGUCCACAAGCUGAACUGUUCUACCAUCGCUUCAGAGGACAAUUCAUGUACCCUUACACGAUGAGAGAAAGAUGUGCUCCGUCCCUGGACUAGUUCUGCACCACCCUGCUGGGAUACUGGCUGGGGUUUGAACUGGCACACUCUAGAUUCAAUAUCAGAUCUUUGGCCGCAUCGCUGCUUGAAACCACUGUAUUAGGAGGACAGCAGGAUGAGCCGCAUGGCAUCUCUCUGAGAUCGCACUGUUUCUGUGUUUCUGUGCC